AGCCCUGUGGUGAAAUAACAUAUUGAAUUGCAAAUUCAAAGAAGCAGCUUCAAACUCUGCCGGGGCUUC
rnacentral:tRNA from 1 species